rnacentral:lncRNA from 1 species
UUAAAGCACAUCUCAGUCAAACUUUCUUUAUUCUUAGAUCAGCAGCUUGAGCCAGAGAUGACUUUAAAGUUAAUCAAUCCAACAUCCUUGGAGUAUUUCUGACUGUGAAAAGAACAAAUUAAAGGAAGGAAAAGUAGGUUUUACUAAAUUAGAGAGGGAUUUAACAAAGAUGAAAUGAGAAACUUUUGGGUACUUGUUAUCUUUAAGUGUAUUUGAACUCCCCCAAAUCUGUUCCCUUCAGCCUCAAAGCAAAAAAUGUAAAUGAUCCAAAUAUGAACUUUGAAGAAACAACCUGUUGGGGGACACAAGUUUAGUCCAGCACUUUGAAACAAAGACAUUUGAAGUACAAAUAAACAAACGAAGCUACUUCUAAUCUACCUUAUUUCUGAUAUGUGGAUUAAAAAAUACUUCUAAAGAAAGUGCAUAUCUGACUGUCCCAAUCUAGAAGGAAAAAAAACCCGGGGGGAACCUCAGUGGAGCUCCGCCCCUUCUCCACCUCUCUUCAUUGCACAGACUCAAAGUAAAGCGCCAGGACAGCUCAGCCGAGUGUCUGCUCCUCUGUCACCGGCUCUGCUCCGUGCGCACUUCACCCGGAAAGUUACAGGAUUGUUUGACGGAUAAGUACACUGGCCCAAACCCAUGCUGUUGAUCGCUGUGGAUCCACUUGGCUGUGUGAAAGACCAAGUCAACACACCGCUGCGUGUCAUGACGUCUCCAUAAACCGAAACUGAGGACUUCGCUGCGUAAAUUUUGGAUAAAAGACUUGAGCGACUUGGAAAGAAGAUGAAAGUCUGUAUUUCAUAGAAAUGGUAAGAGAAACUGUUUCUAAAACUUGAUGUCUUUUCCCUGUUUGUCGUAUCGUGGUUGUGAGUUGUGCAUAUGAAUAUAUAAAAUUUGUGUGUUUUUGAUUGUUCAGUUAGCGCACACAAAAGUCUAUUUCUCUGUAACUCUAGAAGUUUAUCUCUCCUUAUAUUAAGCGAAUAUAAGGAUUACACACGCCUGUUUCACUCUUAUUAAUGACCUGCUGUGUAUGUAUCAUUACGUGGACCACCUUAGUCAACUAGAAGCAAAGGGUAGGGGAGACCAGGUAUGGUUGUGACACUUCAGCACUUAACUCACUUUAGAGUGCUCAAAUAUUUAUGAAGAGUACUCACAGUUGUUUGCUUCAAAUUGGAAUUGUUUUAAACCUUCUCAAAAAUAUUAUGGACCUUGAGAGUGUAAAUCAAAUAGAUGGUGUCUCCUUGUUAUAAUGGGACUGAUCCCUGGUCCCCGGCGGAGUAAGUUUGAGUCACAGUUUAGAGAUAAAGUUGGCAGAUGAUUCAGUGAUGGUCAGCCUGCUGCAGGAUGAGGAGAUUGGCCACCAAUGAGUACUUAAAAUUAUUCACACUAUUUCUUAACAUUUAUCUGAGUGUAAGACAAAACGAGAUGUUCAUUGAUUUUCUUAUGUAUCGGCUGUCAUCAGUGGAACAGCUGUAGAGACAGUAAAACAGUGUACCUAUAGGUAAUGCUUCAUGACAAAUUCACCUUUGAGGAUGCCAAGUGCAAGAAAGACAAUCAGGGAUGAUUCUUUUGGGGGAAGUUGAAAAGUUUUAAUGUUGAAAAAUCACUUUAAAAAAAGUUUCUACACAUCUUUUUAUCGAGUCAAUUUGAACUUUUGUGAUGAUCAGCAUUGUUAAUAGUAACAGGCUUGGAAAUAUUGUUAAAUGGUGCCUAAAGCUUCUUAGCAUUAACCUUAAUGGUUUUUGACCAUGUUUAUAAGUGUAAGAGCCUCUCAAAAGGCCAAAGCCACUCUUGAAAACUCUCACCACCUGCUUCAUCCCUUUGUAAUUGAUCAGUGAUCAACAUUUUAGGCAAUCAUGUCUUCCCAAUCAUAUACUGUAUGUCAGCUAUUAAAAAAAUCUGUGUAGAACGAAAACAUGCAAAUGACCUAACAUGACUGAGCUGGCUUCACAUACCUACAUGAAAAGAUUACAGCCACAGCUUUGUUGCUAAAACACACAUGCACAUCCUGCCAGAUUUACAGCAUCAAAAACUGCCUUAUGUCAGCUUUAGUCACUCUCCAAGGACAAAACACAAAGCCAAAGGUCACUCAGUUAUGUUAGGAACCACAUGGCUGAAAUUUCAGCAGUGUGAUAUUCUGUUUUAAGUCUCAAUUUUCCUGUUUUAUUGUAAGUCUAUAAUAAAUGUUCUGUGGUGAGUAAGGUAACAUUAGAUAGAAUCACUUAUUUUGUGAAAAAUCUAAUGCAGCCAAAGGAUGAUGGGGAGAAUAGUUUUCUUCCCUUACACAAAGACUAUUAACCAGUAGCCAGAGUCCCGACUGUUAAAACUGGAAAAACCAGAUAAAAUCCCUCUCAAUCAAAUUCGUCUUAAGAGUAAACAAACAUGGCAGACAGUGAGAGCGAAUUGUUGCUAGCUGCUUAGCCUCCUAGUCCAACCACUAAAGUAAACAUUUCUUUUCAACACCUCGCCUUGUCAUUUUGAGUCUCCUCAGCUGUUUUACCAAACACGAUGUGGAGACACUUAUGUUUUUGUCAUGUAUCAACAAACAGAUUCUAUAUUUGCUGUUGUCAUGGUUGCAUUAACACUGCUUCCAUCUCGAGUCAGCUGGCUUCCAGAGUAGCUAAUGUUUUGUUCUAUGUGACAACGCACAUCAUACAUUGCUGUCUGCUCUUGGGGAUCCCCAUUCAGGUUAAACAUGUUUGAUAGUAAUGAUUUCAGGUUGGGGAGGUUCUGAUUGUCAGAUCAGAUGGAAGCAAAACACACCUUGAGCUAAGACCACCUCUUCUAAGAGAUCCUGCCUGGCUUGUUUUGUUCUGUUUCAGAGUGCCUGUGUGUAUAUGUCUAAACAAUCUGGGCCGAGUUUCAGAGUAACGUCCAAACAAACCGUGGGUGAAAAAGCUUUAACUGUCUCAGGGUUGGAGGAGUUAGUAAUGCUGUGUGCUUUUAAGAAGUGCUAUAAAAAUAAACCAGACAUAGGUCUCCGAGAAAUUUCACUAAAAUUGAUGUCAUUACCUGUGAAAGCUAAGCCACUGAGAUGAAUUUAAUUUUGAUUUGUUCGUGGUUAUUUGCUCUCCCAAAAACCUGAUUUUG